GGUUCCGUAGCUCAGCUGGGAGAGCACUACCUUGACAUGGUAAUGGCCGUUGGUUCAAGUCCAAUCGGAGCCACCA
rnacentral:tRNA from 1 species